AGUCUGCAACUCGACUACAUGAAGCUGGAAUCGCUAGUAAUCGCGAAUCAGAAUGUCGCGGUGAAUACGUUCCCGGGUCUUGUACACACCGCCCGUCACACCAUGGGAGUCGGAAAUGCCCGAAGUCUGUGACCUAACCGUAAGGAAGGAGCAGCCGAAGGCAGGUCGGAUGACUGGGUGAAGUCGUAACAAGGUAUC
rnacentral:rRNA from 1 species